rnacentral:rRNA from 1 species
UACAGAGGUCCCGAGCGUUGUUCGGAUUCACUGGGCGUAAAGGGUGCGUAGGUGGCAUAGAAAGUUUGAUGUGAAAGCUCAGGGCUUAACCCUGAAAUGGCAUUGAAUACUGCUGUGCUGGAGGUUUGGAGGGGGGACUGGAAUUCUUGGUGUAGCAGUGAAAUGCGUAGAUAUCAAGAGGAACACCAGUGGCGAAGGCGAGUCCCUGGACAACACCUGACACUGAGGCACGAAAGCUAGGGGGAGCAAACAGG